rnacentral:rRNA from 1 species
CAGUCGCCGCGGGAAUACGGAGGGUGCAAGCGUUAUCCGGAUUUAUUGGGUUUAAAGGGUCCGUAGGCGGAUCUGUAAGUCAGUGGUGAAAUCUCACAGCUUUACUGUGAAACUGCCAUUGAUACUGCAGGUCUUGAGUAAAUUUGAAGUGGCUGGAAUAAGUAGUGUAGCGGUGAAAUGCAUAGAUAUUACUUAGAACACCAAUUGCGAAGGCAGGUCACUAAGAUUUAACUGACGCUGAUGGACGAAAGCGUGGGGAGCGAACAGGAUUAGAUACCCCGGUAGUCCCUGUCUCUUAUAC